GCCAGCGUGGUGUAGUGGUUUGAGUGUUGGAUUACAACUCUAGCGAUCAGGAUUUGAUUCCCUGCUCGGCCA